UCCGGUGUGGUGUAGCGGUAACAUUGUUGACUCUCAUAUCCCUGCCUUUACAACGCAGAUCUGUUCGCUCAAUAGCCCGGGGUUCGAUUCCCCGCUCCGGAA